GGUCUCCCUCUCUCUCUCUCUCUCUCUCUCUCUCUCUCUCUCUCCUGAGAAUUCUACAGUGGUCUCUCCCUCUCUCCCUCUCUCUAUCGUCUGAGAAUUGUACAGUCUCUCUCUCUCUCUCUCUCUCUCUCUCUCUCUCUCUCUGUUUGUGAGAAUUGUACAGCGGGUCUUCCAGCUCUUUUAUGGCAACAGAGCCAUUUCUCAGCUCCCCUCCAAAAACCCACAUCCAAAACCUCCUCCCAGAUGAAGAAAUCCCCUUCCCAAUCCCCCAAUCAAUCAAAAACCGCAUCAUCUUCGGAGAAAUCGAAGACCUAUUUCCCGAAAUCCCCUCUGAAUCUCCUCACCUACCACCCUCCAAUUUCCGCCAGAAAUCCUCUCUGCACCGCUCGAGGACCGCCCCUGCCAUGGCCGUCAUGCGAGACCUCAAGCCCCAGAUGCAGAAACCAUUCGAAUCGAAUUCCAUCAUCAAACAGGCCGCCGUCCUUCUCCUAAUCUACCUCUCCCUCGGCGUCGCUAUCUACUCCUUGAAUCCCCAGCACUUUUCCGGCAUCGAGACACACCCCGUCGUUGACGCCCUCUACUUCUGCAUUGUAACCAUGUGCACCAUCGGCUACGGUGACAUCGCUCCAAUUUCCCCCGCCACGAAGGUCUUCGCCUGUGUCUUUGUUCUCUUCGGCUUUGGAUUCCUUGACAUCCUCCUCAGUGGCGUUGUUAAUUACGUUCUCGAUCUGCAGGAGAACAUGAUUCUCACCAGCAUCCGUGUUGGUGGCGCCGAUGCCUUCGCCAAGAACUACAUAUUCGAUGCCGAGAAAGGGCGGAUGAGGAUAAGGAUGAAGGUGGGGUUGGCCCUUGGCGUUGUUGUUUCCUGUAUUGGGAUGGGGUCUCUGGUUUUGUAUUUCGUUGAGCAUUUGGAUUGGGUUGAUUCAAUCUACUUGUCGGUUAUGUCAGUUACGACGGUCGGGUACGGGGACCGGGCAUUCAAGACCUUGCCCGGCCGCCUGUUUGCUUCUAUCUGGCUUUUGUUCUCGACGCUUGCGGUGGCACGGGCGUUCUUGUAUUUGGCAGAGGCGAGGAUCGACAAGCGGCACAGGAGAAUUACGAAGUGGGUUUUGGACAGGGAUUUGACUGUGGAGGAUUUGCUUGCAGCUGAUGUCAAUAACAACGGGUUUAUAAGAUGCAAAGAAGAGCACUAGGCAUAUGACUGUUGGUGUGUGAUUAAGAUGCCUGCUAGCAAUGCAUUAUUGUUACUUUGUCCCGAAGCAAGAUCAUGCAUGGAGAAUAGGAGAGGCGGCGUUGGCAUUUAAUCAUGGAUGGCCUCAGUUCUCGCAGUGUCUCUAGCAGCAUCCUCUUAAAGUUGGGUCUUUUCUCGAGAGUUUUAGAUGGAUUCCCCUUUAUAAGCAUCAAUGGGUCCAUAGUCAAGCAUAACACAAUGUGUUGCUUUUAAUGUGAGCUUGUCUUGCAGUUGGGGCUGACUAUGCACAAACAGCUGGACCUUCAAAUGAAAGUAGGCUGAAUGCUGAUCGUUGAUCAUCCGGGCAACAGCUGCAAUUGCCGGGGCAUGCUAUGCUGGUGAUGCCAAAAAUGGGUAAAUCGGAAUAUGUGAUAUACAAGCUCAAAGAGAUGGGUAAAAUUGCGGAGAAAGAUGUGUUGCAGAUAUGCGCCCAGUUCGACAAGCUUGACCCCAACAACUCCGGCAAGAUAACACUCCCUGAUCUUUUAGAAAGU